GCUGGGGGCGGGGGGGGGGGGGGCAGAGGGACGCGCGUCCCCCGUUCCCGUCCCACCUCCCGCCCCCGCCCCGCUCGCGGUCCCGCCACUCCCCCCGGAAUUUUGGGUGCUCCCUCCGGCACGGGGAAUGCUGGAAAACACACUACGGCCUCCCCCCCUCCCGCCACCCCGCCCCGCUCCACGUCCUGCGGAUUUCCCGCUGGAGGAAACCACCCUCUAGCGGGCUGCGGGAAAGGAUGAAAGAUACAGGUAUAUCCAAGAAGGCAAAUGGAGAAAGAGAAAUCCCUGUGCACAAGUGUUUGGAAGAACACACCAAAAUGCUGAGCGGAAUUGAACACUUUUUAAAGCAUAAAUAAAGGUAUGAAGUGCUUUUA